rnacentral:rRNA from 1 species
UACGUAGGGUGCAGGCGUUAAUCGGAAUUACUGGGCGUAAAGCGUGCGCAGGCGGUUCGUUAAGUCAGAUGUGAAAUCCCCGGGCUCAACCUGGGAAUUGCGAUGGAGACUGCAAGGCUAGAAUCUGGCAGAGGGGGGUAGAAUUCCACGUGUAGCAGUGAAAUGCGUAGAGAUGUGGAGGAACACCGAUGGCGAAGGCAGCCCCCUGGGUCAAGAUUGACGCUCAUGCACGAAAGCGUGGGGAGCAAACAGG